UGUAACUAGGCAAGUAAUUUUUAAUUUUGAAGAUGAGCAACUGAAGAUUUUAAGAAAAUUUCCAGCAAAGCACCUCAACUACAACUGCUAGAGGCUUGAGGCAAAAUCCAGCCCUUCACCUCUGUUUCAACCUGCUGCAGAAGACUUGUUUGGAAACUGACCUCAAGUGGGAAGACAGCUCCAAAGAAAAUUGUCCCAGGUUAAGGUUACUCCAGCGGUGAAACAGGGGUUUUGUUGCUUUCCUUCCUUUGGAGAGAGGCUUGGGAUCUUGAAAUGAACACAGGUGGUAUGCUCAUACAAAUGCCCAGACAUUUUGCCUGCUCAGGG